rnacentral:rRNA from 1 species
AUUGAACGCUGGCGGCAGGCUUAACACAUGCAAGUCGAGCGGAGUGAUGGUGCUUGCACUAUCACUUAGCGGCGGACGGGUGAGUAAUGCUUAGGAAUCUGCCUAUUAGUGGGGGACAACAUCUCGAAAGGGAUGCUAAUACCGCAUACGUCCUACGGGAGAAAGCAGGGGAUCACUUGUGACCUUGCGCUAAUAGAUGAGCCUAAGUCGGGUUAGCUAGUUGGUGGGGUAAAGGCCUACCAAGGCGACGAUCUGUAGCGGGUCUGAGAGGAUGCUCCGCCACACUGGGACUGAGACACGGCCCAGACUCCUACGGGAGGCAGCAGUGGGGAAUAUUGGACAAUGGGGGGAACCCUGAUCCAGCCAUGCCGCGUGUGUGAAGAAGGCCUUAUGGCUGUAAAGCACUUUAAGCGAGGAGGAGGCUCUUUUGGUUAAUACCCAAGAUGAGUGGACGUUACUCGCAGAAUAAGCACCGGCUAACUCUGUGCCAGCCGCCGCGGUAA